GGAAAGAUGAAAAGAACUUUGAAAAGAGAGUUAAACAGUACGUGAAAUUGUUGAAAGGGAAACGAUUGAAGUCAGUCAUACCAACGGGAAAUCAACCUUUUGAGCUCGGUCUCGUGGGUUUUGAAGAGUUUCAAAGCCUUCGGAUUCGCGGGAUUGGGAUCUCUUGGCGUACUUUUUCGUACGGUUAGUCAACAUCGGUUUUGAAUGUCAUAAAAUGACUGGAGGAAUGUAGCUUCGAUCUCGUAUUGAAGUGUUAUAGCCUUUGGUAGACGUGAUGUUUGAGACCGAGGAUUGCAACGGAUACCCUUCAGGGCUAUUCGUCUGAUCUCUGAUACGUUGCCUUGAUGUUGAAAGCUUGCUUAUGAUGUUAGGGUAUUACGGUCAAAAGGUUAGAACGAAUUACAUUCGUUAAGGAUGUUGACGUAAUGACUUUAAACGACCCGUCUUGAAACACGGACCA
rnacentral:rRNA from 1 species